GGGAGGGGUACUCUGGUCUCCCACACUUGCCCACCUCUAGGCAUUCUUUACAGUUCUCUUUCCCCCUUGAUAGAUAAUCCUAUACUGUAGUGAAUAACUCUUUAUAUUAAACUUUCUAUGUACCAAUUACUCUGUGGUUUCUAACUCCUGAUUAGACUUGACCAAUACAACACUGAAUAUGUGUCUAACCAAAGCUUAUGUAAUUGUUUCAGGAAGACAGGAAGUCAGAAAGUGUGAAUGUGUGUAUGUGAGAGAGAGAGAGCAAUAAAGAGAGCGAGAGAGAGAGCGAGAGUGAAAGUAAAGGCCUUAUUUUCCAUCGCAAGAAGUUGACAACAUACACCUGAAACUGAAAAUUUAUAGAAUAUAGUAUAAAAUUAUCUAGAGAUUUGAAAGUGGUUCUGUUUAGAGAUCAGGAAAUGGAGUGAGAGAGAUCUGCUAAUUUUUGUAACAAGCCUUGGAUUUGACUCUUAUGAUUAUAGAUAACUUCAAUGAGAAUUAAAACUGAUAAAAAGAGAAUUACUAGGACUUUGGAAGGCCAAGGCAGGAGGAUCACUUGAGGCCAGGAGUUCGAGAUCAGCCUGGCCAACAUACCAAAACCCCAUCCCUACUAAAAAAUACAAAAAAGUAGCUGGGCGUGGUGGCGCAUGCUUGUAAUCCCAGCUACUCGGGAGGCUGAGACAUGAAAAUCACUUGAACCCGGGAGGCAGAGGUUGCAGUGAGCCGAGAUCAUGCCACUGGACUCCAGCCUGGAUGACAGAGUGAGACUCUGUCUAAAAAAAGAAAAGGAGAGAGAGAGAAAAAAAGAAAAUUACUGAAAUAAAUAAACAGAGGGGAAGGAAAGAAGGAACGUUACAAAGUUUGUGGGAGUAAACCAAAAAUAAAAUUCUAAGCACCCCCAACCACUGAAUGGAUUCCCCCCUUGGCCAAGAGGAUCCCAAAGAAAACCCGAGGAAACUUUGUGCAAUGGCAGCCAAUGAGGUUUACCUGAGGUGUGAUUAUUGCUAAUGGAAAACUCUUCUCAGUACCCUGCCACGAUGAGUUGAAAUAUAGUCAGCAUUGGCAAUUUUUGACCGUCUCUCCAGAGACUGAACUUUGUUAGUAAAAAAAUAUAUAUUAAAAAACAACAACA
rnacentral:lncRNA from 1 species